rnacentral:rRNA from 1 species
CCCUUAGAUGUUCUGGGCCGCACGCGUGCUACACUGAUGCAUUCAACGAGUCUAAAACCUGGUCUGAUAGGGCUGGGUAAUCUUUUGAAAGUGCAUCGUGAUUGGGAUAGAUGAUUGCAAUUCUUCAUCUUCAACGAGGAAUUCCUAGUAAACGCAGAUCAUCAAUCUGCAUUGAUUACGUCCCUGCCCUUUGUACACACCGCCCGUCGCACCUACCGAUUGGAUGGUCCGGUGAAGCCUCGGGAUUGUGGUUCUUGCCGCUUUAUUGUGGCGUGACCGCGAGAACUUGUCUAAACCUUAUCAUCUAGAGGAAGGUGAAGUCGUAACA